UGGGCAUUGUUGCUGGCCUGGCUGUCCUAGCAGUUGUGGUCACCGGAGCUGUGGUCGCUGCUGUGAUGUGGAGGAGGAAGAGCUCAGGUGGAAAAGGAGGGAGCUACUCUCAGGCUGUGUCCAACGACAGUGCCCAGGGCUCUGAUGAGUCUCUCACGGCUUGAAGAGCCUGAGACAACUGUCUUGUGUGGAACUGAGAAGCAGGAUUUCUUCAUGCCUCCCUUUUGGAGAGACUCUGGCAUCUCUUUCUGCAAAGGCAUCUGAAUGUGUCUGCAACCCUGUUAGCAUAAUGUGAGGAGGAGGAGAGACAGCCCACCCCCAUGUCCACCGUGACCCCUGUUCCCACGUUGACCAGUGUUUCCCCCCGAGUCAUCUUUCCUGUUCCAGAGAGGUGGGGCUGGAUAUCUCCAUCUCAGUCUCAACUUUAUGUGCACUGAGCUGCAACUUCUUACUUCCCUACUGAAAAUAAGAAUCUGAAUAUAAAUUUGUUUUCUCAAAUAUCUGCUAUGAGAGGUUGAUGGACUAAUUAAAUAAAUCAAUUCCUGGAAUUUGAGAGAGCAAAUAAAGACCUGAGCACCUUCCAGAA